rnacentral:rRNA from 1 species
UACGGAGGGGGCUAGCGUUGUUCGGAAUUACUGGGCGUAAAGAGCGCGCAGGCGGUCGUUCAAGUCGAGUGUGAAAGCCCCCGGCUCAACUGGGGAGGGUCAUUCGAUACUGAUCGACUCGAAGGCAGGAGAGGGAAGUGGAAUUCCCGGUGUAGUGGUGAAAUGCGUAGAUAUCGGGAGGAACACCAGUGGCGAAGGCGACUACCUGGCCUGUUCUUGACGCUGAGGCGCGAAAGCUAGGGGAGCAAACGGG